CAUCAAUGCAUAUAAGGGCCGAACUGGUUUUCUUUAUAUAUUUCCUGAAUAUAUAUAAGAUACACAUUCGUACGUUGUUUGUUCGUCCAACAAUCGUUGUACUGUUUCCCUUCAUCAUGAUGAGCAAGGUGUUCCUCCUCUUCGCCGUGAUCGCGCUCCUGGCGCUGACGCAGACCGCCGAGGCCUGCUACAGCUACGGCUCCGAGUGCAACCUGAUCACCGGCGGGUGCUGUGAAGGCAUGAAGUGUGUCUGGGCGAUGUUCACCAAGGCGAUCUGUUUAGAUAAAAGUUAUUAAAAUAAAGAAGUCGUGA